UACGUAGGGGGCAAGCGUUGUCCGGAAUCAUUGGGCGUAAAGGGCGCGUAGGCGGUCACGCACGUCCGUUGUGAAAUCGCUCGGCUCAACUGGGCGGGGUCAGCGGAUACGGCGUGGCUGGAGCAAGCUAGGGGGCAAUGGAAUUCCCGGUGUAGUGGUGGAAUGCGUAGAUAUCGGGAGGAACACCAGUGGCGAAGGCGGUUGCCUGGAGCUUUGCUGACGCUGAUGCGCGAAAGCGUGGGAGCGAUCCGG
rnacentral:rRNA from 1 species